GGCCAGACUCCUACGGGAGGCAGCAGUGGGGAAUAUUGCACAAUGGGGGGAACCCUGAUGCAGCGACGCCGCGUGGGUGAAGAAGCGCCUCGGCGCGUAAAGCCCUGUCAGCAGGGAAGAAAAUGACGGUACCUGAAGAAGAAGCCCCGGCUAACUACGUGCCAGCAGCCGCGGUAAUACGUAGGGGGCAAGCGUUAUCCGGAUUUACUGGGUGUAAAGGGGGCGCAGACGGCGAUGCAAGCCAGGAGUGAAAGCCCGGGGCCCAACCCCGGGACUGCUCUUGGAACUGCGUGGCUGGAGUGCAGGAGGGGCAGGCGGAAUUCCUGGUGUAGCGGUGAAAUGCGUAGAUAUCAGGAGGAACACCGGUGGCGAAGGCGGCCUGCUGGACUGCAACUGACGUUGAGGCCCGAAAGCGUGGGGAGCAAACAGGAUUAGAUACCCCGGUA
rnacentral:rRNA from 1 species